GAACUCUGGUUUCUCUUCAGAUCAUAUAAAUCUUUCACCUUUUACUAAAGAUUUCCGUGAAGAGGAACACUCAGAGUUUUGAUUAAUUUUUUGAUGUCCUACCUUUGUGGGGCU